rnacentral:rRNA from 1 species
UGCAAGUCGAGGGGUAAGGUCAGCUUGCUGAACACACGACCGGCGAACGGGUGAGUAUCGCGUUUGCAACCUACCCUUAACAGGAGGAUAGCUCCCGGAAACGGGAAUUAAUACUCCAUAACAUUCAGACAGGGCAUCCUGACUGAAUCAAAGCUCCGGCGGUUAAGGAUGGGCAUGCGUGACAUUAGCUUGUUGGUGAGGUAACGGCUCACCAAGGCAACGAUGUCUAGGGGGUCUGAGAGGAUGAUCCCCCACACUGGUACUGAGAUACGGACCAGACUCCUACGGGAGGCAGCAGUGAGGAAUAUUGGGCAAUGGACGCAAGUCUGACCCAGCCAUGCCGCGUGCAGGAUGACAGCCCUAUGGGUUGUAAACUGCUUUUGUACAGGAAGAAACAUCCCGACGUGUCGGGACUUGACCGUACUGUACGAAUAAGCAUCGGCUAACUCCGUGCCAGCAGCCGCGGUAAUACGGAGGAUGCAAGCGUUAUCCGGAUUCAUUGGGUUUAAAGGGUGUGUAGGCGGGAUAAUAAGUCAGCGGUGAAAUCUUUCGGCUCAACCGGAAAACUGCCAUUGAUACUGUUAUCCUUGAGUGUAGUUGAGGUGGGCGGAAUGUGUAAUGUAGCGGUGAAAUGCAUAGAGAUUACACAGAACACCAAUUGCGAAGGCAGCUCACUAAACUAAUACUGACGCUGAGGCACGAAAGCGUGGGGAGCAAACAGGAUUAGAUACCCUGGUAGUCCACGCUGUAAACUAUGAAUACUCGAUGUGUGCGACAUAUUGUACGCGUCUGAGCGAAAGCAUUAAGUAUUCCACCUGGGGAGUACGGUCGCAAGAUUGAAACUCAAAGGAAUUGACGGGGGCCCGCACAAGCGGAGGAACAUGUGGUUUAAUUCGAUGAUACGCGAGGAACCUUACCUGGGCUUAAAUGCAGGACGACGUUCCGGGAAACCGGGACUCCCUUCGGGGCGGACUGCAAGGUGCUGCAUGGCUGUCGUCAGCUCGUGCCGUGAGGUGUCGGGUUAAGUCCCAUAACGAGCGCAACCCCUAUCGUUAGUUGCCAGCGGGUAAUGCCGGGAACUCUAACGAAACUGCCAGUGUAAACUGUGAGGAAGGUGGGGAUGACGUCAAGUCAGCACGGCCCUUAUGUCCAGGGCUACACACGUGUUACAAUGGCCAGUACAAAGGGCUGCUACCAGGUGACUGGAUGCAAAUCUCUAAAACUGGUCUCAGUUCGGAUCGGAGUCUGCAACUCGACUUCGUGAAGAUGGAUUCGCUAGUAAUCGCGCAUCAGCCACGGCGCGGUGAUACGUUCCCGGGCAUUGUACACACCGCCCGUCAAGCCAUGGAAGCUGGGGGUACCUAAAGUCCGUAACCG